rnacentral:rRNA from 1 species
ACGCUCGACACCUACGGGAGGCAGCAGUGAGGAAUAUUGGUCAAUGGGCGCUAGCCUGAACCAGCCAAGUAGCGUGAAGGAUGAAGGCUCUAUGGGCCGUAAACUUCUUUUAUAUAAGAAUAAAGUGCAGUAUGUAUACUGUUUUGUAUGUAUUAUAUGAAUAAGGAUCGGCUAACUCCGUGCCACAGCCGCGGUAAUCUGAGCGGGCUGGCAAGGC